CCCUUAGAUGUUCUGGGCCGCACGCGCGCUACACUGACGAUGGCAACGAGUUUUUCCUUCGCCGAAAGGUGUGGGUAAUCUUUUGAAACAUCGUCGUGCUGGGGAUAGAUCAUUGCAAUUUUUGAUCUUGAACGAGGAAUUCCUAGUAAACGCAGUUCAUCAAACUGCAUUGAUUACGUCCCUGCCCUUUGUACACACCGCCCGUCGCACCUACCGAUUGGAUGGUCCGGUGAAGCCUCGGGAUUGUGGCGGUUGCCUUUAUUGGUGGCCGCCGCGAGAACUUGUCUAAACCUUAUCAUCUAGAGGAAGGUGAAGUCGUAACA
rnacentral:rRNA from 1 species